GCGAUGCGCUAAGAGUCUGCCAUGCAGACCAGCGAUCCUGAUAAUGUUGUCAGCGUUGGAUGAUGAGGUCCAGUUACCAGGAGCACUAGUCUGCAGCUUACUGGUUCCGUCCUGCAGCUCCUCCACGCCGUCCUCCUCUCUACAGACCAAAUCAAGAAAAGGGAACCAGGAAGCUGCUGUGGAUCCUCUGCAGUAUCUGGAGAGGUCAGAGGAACGGUUCUUGGAACAGAUCGGAAGACACCAAGACGUGACCUCUGCCAUGCUCCAGAACAUCCAGAAGAUGAAUGAAAACCUUGGUUGCACUGAUGGGACGCAUGGUGUCGGUGCUGGAGCAACUGUCCCAGAAUUAAACUGCAUUGUUGACUAUUGGCUUUUCUAGAAAAUAAAUCUUUUUUAGUACUUCACCUGUUUUGUAUUUUACUCAUGUACUUUGGGUGAAUAAACAGAAAUUUGUGAUGAGA